rnacentral:rRNA from 1 species
GACGAACGCUGGCGGCGUGCCUAAUACAUGCAAGUUGAGCGCUGAAGGUUGGUACUUGUACCGACUGGAUGAGCAGCGAACGGGUGAGUAACGCGUGGGGAAUCUGCCUUUGAGCGGGGGACAACAUUUGGAAACGAAUGCUAAUACCGCAUAAAAACUUUAAACACAAGUUUUAAGUUUGAAAGAUGCAAUUGCAUCACUCAAAGAUGAUCCCGCGUUGUAUUAGCUAGUUGGUGAGGUAAAGGCUCACCAAGGCGAUGAUACAUAGCCGACCUGAGAGGGUGAUCGGCCACAAUGGGAAUGAGACACGGCCCAAACUCCUACGGGAGGCAGCAGUAGGGGAUCUUCGGCAAUGGACGAAAGUCUGGCCGAGCAACGCCGGGUGAGGGAAGAAGGUUCUCGGAUCGGAAAACUCUGUUGGUAGAGAAGAACGUUGGUGGGAGUGGAAAGCUCAUCAAGUGACGGUAACUACCCAGAAAGGGACGGCUAACUACGUG